AGUGAACGCUGGCGGUAGGCCUAACACAUGCAAGUCGAACGGCAGCACAGUAAGAGCUUGCUCUUACGGGUGGCGAGUGGCGGACGGGUGAGGAAUACAUCGGAAUCUACUUUUUCGUGGGGGAUAACGUAGGGAAACUUACGCUAAUACCGCAUACGACCUACGGGUGAAAGCAGGGGAUCUUCGGACCUUGCGCGAUUGAAUGAGCCGAUGUCGGAUUAGCUAGUUGGCGGGGUAAAGGCCCACCAAGGCGACGAUCCGUAGCUGGUCUGAGAGGAUGAUCAGCGACACUGGAACUGAGACACGGUCCAGACUCCUACGGGAGGCAGCAGUGGGGAAUAUUGGGCAAUGGGCGCAAGCCUGAUCCAGCCAUACCGCGUGGGUGAAGAAGGCCUUCGGGUUGUAAAGCCCUUUUGUUGGGAAAGAAAAGCAGCAGGUUAAUACCCCGCUGUUCUGACGGUACCCAAAGAAUAAGCACCGGCUAACUUCGUG
rnacentral:rRNA from 1 species